rnacentral:rRNA from 1 species
GAUGAACGCUAGCGGCAGGCCUAAUACAUGCAAGUCGAACGGUGUCUUCGGACAUAGUGGCGCACGGGUGCGUAACACGUAUGCAACCUACCUUACAUUGGGGGAUAGCCUUUCGAAAGGGAGAUUAAUACCGCAUAAGACAGUAGCUGGGCAUCCAGCAGCUGUUAAAGAUUUAUCGAUGUAAGCUGGGCAUGCGUCCAAUUAGCUAGUUGGUGAGGUAACGGCUCACCAAGGCAAUGAUUGGUAGGGGAACUGAGAGGUCAAUCCCCCACACGGGCACUGAGAUACGGGCCAGACUCCUACGGGAGGCAGCAGUAGGGAAUAUUGGGCAAUGGACGCAAGUCUGACCCAGCCAUGCCGCGUGCAGGAUGAAGGCGUUAUGCGUUGUAAACUGCUUUUAUACAGGAAGAAACGACUCUUGCGAGAGGCAUUGACGGUACUGUAUGAAUAAGCACCGGCUAACUCCGUGCCAGCAGCAGCCGCCG